rnacentral:rRNA from 1 species
GCCCAGACAACUAGGAUGUUGGCUUAGAAGCAGCCAUCAUUUAAAGAGUGCGUAAUAGCUCACUAGUCGAGUGACACUGCGCCGAAAAUGUACCGGGGCUAAACAUGUUACCGAAGCUGUGGAUUGUCCUUUGGACAAUGGUAGGAGAGCGUUCUAAGGGCGUUGAAGCAUGAUCGUAAGGACAUGUGGAGCGCUUAGAAGUGAGAAUGCCGGUGUGAGUAGCGAAAGACGGGUGAGAAUCCCGUCCACCGAUUGACUAAGGUUUCCAGAGGAAGGCUCGUCCGCUCUGGGUUAGUCGGGUCCUAAGCUGAGGCCGACAGGCGUAGGCGAUGGAUAACAGGUUGAUAUUCCUGUACCACCUAUAAUCGUUUUAAUCGAUGGGGGGACGCAGUAGGAUAGGCGAAGCGUGCGAUUGGAUUGCACGUCUAAGCAGUAAGGCUGGGUAUUAGGCAAAUCCGGUACUCGUUAAGGCUGAGCUGUGAUGGGGAGAAGACAUUGUGUCUUCGAGUCGUUGAUUUCACACUGCCGAGAAAAGCCUCUAGAUAGAAAAUAGGUGCCCGUACCGCAAACCGACACAGGUAGUCAAGAUGAGAAUUCUAAGGUGAGCGAGCGAACUCUCGUUAAGGAACUCGGCAAAAUGACCCCGUAACUUCGGGAGAAGGGGUGCUCUUUAGGGUUAACGCCCAGAAGAGCCGCAGUGAAUAGGCCCAAGCGACUGUUUAUCAAAAACACAGGUCUCUGCUAAACCGUAAGGUGAUGUAUAGGGGCUGACGCCUGCCCGGUGCUGGAAGGUUAAGAGGAGUGGUUAGCUUCUGCGAAGCUACGAAUCGAAGCCCCAGUAAACGGCGGCCGUAACUAUAACGGUCCUAAGGUAGCGAAAUUCCUUGUCGGGUAAGUUCCGACCCGCACGAAAGGCGUAACGAUUUGGGCACUGUCUCAACGAGAGACUCGGUGAAAUCAUAGUACCUGUGAAGAUGCAGGUUACCCGCGACAGGACGGAAAGACCCCGUGGAGCUUUACUGUAGCCUGAUAUUGAAAUUCGGCACAGCUUGUACAGGAUAGGUAGGAGCCUUUGAAACGUGAGCGCUAGCUUACGUGGAGGCGCUGGUGGGAUACUACCCUAGCUGUGUUGGCUUUCUAACCCGCACCACUUAUCGUGGUGGGAGACAGUGUCAGGCGGGCAGUUUGACUGGGGCGGUCGCCUCCUAAAAGGUAACGGAGGCGCUCAAAGGUUCCCUCAGAAUGGUUGGAAAUCAUUCAUAGAGUGUAAAGGCAUAAGGGAGCUUGACUGCGAGACCUACAAGUCGAGCAGGGUCGAAAGACGGACUUAGUGAUCCGGUGGUUCCGCAUGGAAGGGCCAUCGCUCAACGGAUAAAAGCUACCCCGGGGAUAACAGGCUUAUCUCCCCCAAGAGUUCACAUCGACGGGGAGGUUUGGCACCUCGAUGUCGGCUCAUCGCAUCCUGGGGCUGUAGUCGGUCCCAAGGGUUGGGCUGUUCGCCCAUUAAAGCGGUACGCGAGCUGGGUUCAGAACGUCGUGAGACAGUUCGGUCCCUAUCCGUCGUGGGCGUAGGAAAUUUGAGAGGAGCUGUCCUUAGUACGAGAGGACCGGGAUGGACAUACCUCUGGUGUACCAGUUGUCGUGCCAACGGCAUAGCUGGGUAGCUAUGUGUGGACGGGAUAAGUGCUGAAAGCAUCUAAGCAUGAAGCCCCCCUCAAGAUGAGAUUUCCCAACUUCGGUUAUAAGAUCCCUCAAAGAUGAUGAGGUUAAUAGGUUCGAGGUGGAAGCAUGGUGACAUGUGGAGCUGACGAAUACUAAUCGAUCGAAGACUUAAUCAA